UUACAACAAGAACAAGGGCGUAACAUGC
rnacentral:sRNA from 1 species